rnacentral:rRNA from 1 species
UAACGCGUGGGUAACCUGCCUCAUACAGGGGGAUAACAGUUAGAAAUGACUGCUAAUACCGCAUAAGCGCACAGUGCUGCAUGGCACAGUGUGAAAAACUCCGGUGGUAUGAGAUGGACCCGCGUCUGAUUAGCUAGUUGGUGGGGUAACGGCCUACCAAGGCGACGAUCAGUAGCCGGCCUGAGAGGGUGACCGGCCACAUUGGGACUGAGACACAGCCCAA